rnacentral:rRNA from 1 species
CGAGUGGCGAACGGGUGAGUAACACGUGGGUGAUCUGCCCUGCACUCUGGGAUAAGCCUGGGAAACUGGGUCUAAUACCGGAUAGGACCAUGCUUUAGUGUGUGUGGUGGAAAGUUUUUUCGGUGUAGGAUGAGCCCGCGGCCUAUCAGCUUGUUGGUGGGGUAAUGGCCUACCAAGGCGGCGACGGGUAGCCGGACUGAGAGGUUGGUCGGCCACAUUGGGACUGAGAUACGGCCCAG